GGAAGCGUGAUCUGGAGGAAAGGAUGCAUCUGAGGAACUGGAAAAGGUUUCAGUUGAGUGCAGUAUAUCCAGGUAUAUAAGGAACUUCCUCCAUCACCUUUGAAGAUUACUGAAAGUCCAGAUCAUCAAAUACAUUUUAGGACUCAUAAAUUUUGUGGAUUUAGAUACCUAAUAACAUUGAACUUCAACAUCCAGGGAAAAGGAUCUGUCACCUGAAGAGCAUAUUUUAGAUUUUAAGCUGGAUGAAUGAACUCUUUGUACUACUCUUCGAUACACUGGAGGGAAGAGAGAAGAUGCAUCAAAUUAAAUUCCUACAAGCUUCAUGAGAACAGACAGCUGGGUAGAGAUGCUUUCAGUGAGGAACAAGCUGAGCCUGACUUCCUGUAAUGUCUGAUUAUAAAUUUUGCCCUCCUGUUUCUCAAGCAUGAAAUAUAGUCUUCCACGUAGUGUUCAAUGCUUCAUUUUCACUAUAUUCAGUUGCUUUUCUCAGUUUUAUAAUUUUGUUUUCUUUUACUUUUUCCUCUUCCUCUACACUUUGCCCAGUUUCAUGGUUCAUCUCUCCAAAUAAUUUUCUGACUUAGCCUUUCCCUUUCAGUCUGUGUCUGAAUAACAGAGAUGUGCCAUCCAACAGCUGUCCUUCCUGAGAACCAACACGACUUCUCAGCAUCACAUCUUUUUCAUCCUUGGGCAUGAAUACUAAACAAAAUAAUCAUCUUGCAGAAUUACUUUCUAGAAUUCACUAUUUUUAUGAUUUAUUUCCAGUUAUCAGUCGAAAUUUAAGCUGCAUAUGAGAAUCCCUACUAUGGGAUACCAAUGCUCAAG
ensembl:lncRNA